rnacentral:sRNA from 1 species
GGGCUGCGGAGUCAAUCAAUUUUCCCAGGAGUCGAGUUCGAGACCAAAGCUCUGACGUUAAGGACACAUCAAAAAUCGUGUCAAUUUGCCAGACUUGAAAUACCAACAUUUAACCAAAUUUGUGGUUGACAAACAGAGAGUAGCCGCUAGUAGCCAAGUCGAG